AUACGUAGGUGGCAAGCGUUGUCCGGAAUUAUUGGGCGUAAAGCGCGCGAAGGUGGUUCCCUAAGUCUGCUUUGAAAGCCUCCGGCUCCACCGGGGAGGGUCAUUGGAAACUGGGGAACUUGAGCGCAGAAGAGGGUAGUGGAAUUUCAAGUGUAGCGGUGAACUGCGUAGAGAUUUGGAGGAACACCAGUGGCAAAGGCGACUGACUUGUCUGUAACUGAAACUGAUGCUCCAAAGCGUGGGGAGCAAACAUGAUGAUAUACCCUGGUAGUCCACGCCGUAAACGAUGAGUGCUAAGUGUUGGGGGGUUUCCGCCCCUCAGUGCUGCAGCUAACGCAUUAAGCACUCCGCCUGGGGAGUACGGUCGCAAGACUGAAACUCAAAUGAAUUGACGGGG
rnacentral:rRNA from 1 species